UGAGUUGUUGCUGGCCCUCAAAUGGGGACAUGUGCACACUCUGUUUACACAUCCACUCACACCUGUGCACUUUCUGUAGUACUGUGGUCUGGGGGUUCUGUCCUCCUACUGUGGUUCUGCGUAUUUAUACACACACACUGUAAUAAAGUCUCAUGGAAUGUAUGCCGCGUUUAACGCAAUGAAAUACAACUUUCAGCAACGGAUCUCUUGGCUCUCGCAUCGAUGAAGAACGCAGCGAAAUGCGAUAAGUAAUGUGAAUUGCAGAAUUCAGUGAAUCAUCGAAUCUUUGAACGCACCUUGCGCCCUUUGGCUAUUCCGAAGGGCAUGCCUGUUUGAGUAUCAUGAACACCUCAACUCUCAUGGCUUGCCAUGAUGAGCUUGGACUUGGGGGUUUUGCUGGCCUACAGUCAGCUCCCCUCAAAUGCAUCAGCUUUCCAGUGUUUGGUGGCACCACAGGUGUGAUAAACAUCUACACAUGUGGUUCCCCACCAUGUAACCUUCAGUGAUGGAGGUUCACUGGAGCUCACAAAUGUCUUUCCUCAGCGAAGACAGUUCUUUGAUUGUUUGAUCUCAAAUCAGGUAGGACUACCCGCUGAACUUAAGCAUAUCAAUAAGCGGAGGAAAAGAAACUAACAAGGAUUCCCCUAGUAACUGCGAGUGAAGCGGGAAGAGCUCAAAUUUAAAAUCUGAUGUGCCUCUGGCCGUCCGAGUUGUAGUCUGGAGAAGUGUUUUCCGUGCUGGACCGUG
rnacentral:rRNA from 2 species